AAAAACAUGUCUUAUUGAUAAUAAUUUUAAGUCUAAUCUGCCCAAUGAAAAUUUUAAUGGCUGCAGUAUCAAUAACUGUACAAAGGUAGCAUAAUAAUUAGUUUUUUAAUUGAAAACUAGAAUGAAAGAUUAAAUGAAAUAUAAACUUUAUAAAUAAAAUAAAUAUUUAAAUUAAAUUUUAAGUUAAAAUUCUUAAAUAUAAUUAAAAGACGAGAAGACCCUUUAGAAUUUAAUAGUAAUUAUUAUUAAACUUAUAAUAAUAUAAAUAUAAAUUAUAAUUAAUAUUUAAUUGGGGUAAUUUUAUAAUUUAAUAAACUUUUAAAUAAUAAUAACAUUAAUUAAUGAAUACAUAAUCCUAAAAAUAGUAUUUUAAAAUAAAUUACCUUAGGGAUA
rnacentral:rRNA from 1 species